rnacentral:rRNA from 1 species
AACCUUUACAAUGCACUAACGUGUGAUAAGGGAAUCCCAAGUGCUUUACUUUUAGUAAGGCUUUUGCCAAGAGUAAAUAUCUUGGCGAAUAAGUGGUGGGUAAGACUUGUGCCAGCCGCCGCGGUAACACCAGCGCCACAAGUGGCAAUCAUUUUUAUUGGGCCUAAAGCGUCCGUAGCCGGUUUAGUAAAUCUUCUGUGAAAUCGUUAAGCUUAACUUAACGACGUGCAGGAGACACUACUAAACUUGAAACCGGGAGGCGUCAGAGGUAUUCCAAAGGGAGCGGUAAAAUGCUAUAAUCUUUGGAGGACCCCCUGUGGCGAAAGCGUCUGACGAGAACGGAUUUGACGGUGAGGGACGAAAGCUAGGGGAGCGAACCGG